rnacentral:rRNA from 1 species
UUAAAUUGAAGAGUUUGAUCAUGGCUCAGAUUGAACGCUGGCGGCAGGCCUAACACAUGCAAGUCGAACGGUAACAGGAAGAAGCUUGCUUCUUUGCUGACGAGUGGCGGACGGGUGAGUAAUGUCUGGGAAACUGCCUGAUGGAGGGGGAUAACUACUGGAAACGGUAGCUAAUACCGCAUAACGUCGGAAGACCAAGAGGGGGACCUUCGGGCCUCUUGCCAUCA